rnacentral:rRNA from 1 species
CCAGGCGAGAAACUCUACAAUGCGCGUAAGCGUGAUAGGGGAAAUCUGAGUGAUGCACUUCGGUGCAUCUUUUGCCAAGUAUAGUCAGCUUGGAGAAUAAGUGCUGGGUAAGACCGGUGGCAGCCGCCACGGUAAUACCGGCGGCACGAGUGGUGUCCGCGAUUAUUGGGCUUAAAGCGUCCGUAGCCGGUUAGAACCGUCUCAUGUGAAAUAUUGCUGCUCAACAGCAAUGCGUGCAUGAGAUACCUUCUGGCUAGGGAGUGGGAGAGGUCGAGAGUACUUAUGGGGUAGGGGUUAAAUCCUGUAAUCCUAUAAGGACUACCUGUGGCGAAGGCGCUCGACCAGAACAUAUCCGACGGUGAGUGACGAAGGCUAGGAGAACGAAUCGGAUUAGAUACCCCCGUAGUCC